GGCUCGUUGGUCUAGGGGUAUGAUUUCCGCUUAGGGUGCGGGAGGUGUUUCGGGUUCAAAUCCCGGACGAGCCG